CCAAAGGCAUCUCCUACCGUGAACCUCUUCCCUCCAUCCUCGGAGGAGCUGCAAACCAAGAACAAAGCCACCCUGGUGUGUCUGCUGGGCAGCUUCUACCCCGGCGACGCCCAAGUGAUCUGGAAAGCUGAUGGCCAGCAGAUCUCCACGGGAGUGGAGACCACCAGGCCGUCCAAGCAGAGCGACAACAAGUACAUGGCCAGCAGUUACCUGUCUCUGGAUGCAUCCAAGUGGACGUCCCAUGAGACCUACACCUGUCAGGUGACACACGAUGGCAAGACCCUGGAGAGGUCCCUGAAGCGAUCGGAGUGUUCGUAACCCUCUGACCCCAGGGGGCGCAGCCGGUGCCCACGUCAGCCCGUCGGGGGCUCCCAGAGGAGACGGGAUCUCCUAGCGUGGCCAUGAUGCUGAUU